rfam:Triticum aestivum genome assembly, contig: Triticum_aestivum_CS42_TGACv1_scaffold_570250_7AS
CUUCUACUUCCUCCGUUUGAAAUUACUUGUCACAGAAAUGGAUGUAUCUAGAUGUAUUUUAAUUCUAGAUACAUCUAUAUUCGAGACAAUAAUUCCGAACGGAGGGAGUAGCUA